CAGAAAAUAGUUUAUAAAAAUUUUAAUUUUGGAGAUUAAAGAUAGAAAUUAAUUUCUUUUUCUGA
rnacentral:tRNA from 1 species